UUAAAGAUCCAAUCCGGAGAGGACAACUUUGCGCACGCGCCUUGGAAGGCUCGUCAGAGACGCGACAGAGCCAGCGCAUGCGCUCUGAGAAUUCCGGGUAGCAACUCUCCAACUCUCCAGACCAGAGCAACCUUGGGUAGGAGCGAGUAGCCCUGCGCAUGGGCAAUGAUUUUAUUUCAGAAUUUUGCGCGUGCUUGCAAGCCAGGAUGUUCUGCGCCUGCGCAGUUCUUGUAUCGCCUUGGUUUGACUCUAGUGCGCCUGCGCGGUCUUUUGUUUCUUACUCGUAGCUGCCGGACCAAUCGGCGUUGUCUUCGGCCUGGAGGUCGGCGGACUGGGAACGUUUGAACCGCGGGGUUCCGAAUGGCCCGCCAGAGAUGAACCCCAACCCGGGGGGCAGCGCAGGGAGGGAAAGGGUGUGAGUCCUGGGGGAGGAGGGAGGGUGUGGGCAGGUGCCGCGCCCGAGGGAGCAGGUGGGGCCCGCGCGCUGGGCGCCUGAAGGACCGGGCUUUCCCACUCGGCCACUCGGCAGGAGCUAACUCAGCAUCAGCAUCGCGUUGCCCCUCAGGAUGCGAAGACCGCAGUCAGCCUGAGCUGGCAGUGGGCCUGAUGGCAGAAGACAGCAACCGAGACGCGCUGGCGGGGCCAGGGGCUCUCUGGGAGGCCCUCCGGGCGCUCCUGCCCCGCACUAAAGAAGAACUGCGGUUGGACCUCGGUGCGAGCGUGGAGGGGAGUGUGGUGGUGCUGCUGCAGCAAGCCGCCGACCUCUUCUACGGGGGCAGACGGAGCGAGUGUCUGCAGACGAGCGAGGCGGUCCUUGACUACUCCUGGGAGAAACUCAAUACCGGGCUGUGGCAGGACGUGGACAAAGACUGGCGUCGGGUUUAUGCCUUCGGCUGCCUCCUGAAAGCCAUGUGCCUGUGUGAAGGGCCUGGGGACUCGGCCACCGUGGCCGCAGCCCUCAGAGCCUGUGACAUGGGCCUGCUGAUGGGAGCGGCCAUCUUCGAUGACAUCCUCAUUAAAGUCGCUGCCGUCCUCCAGGCGCACCUUCCCCCUGGAAAAAGGCCUGCCCAAAGUCCGGCCCCGGAGCAGCCCCGCUUAAAGAAAGCCAGGAAUGGCCAUGUUUCGAUUCCUGAUAUGAGGUCAGAGAAAGCAGUCCCCCGGCUUCACUGUCCGUCCCUGCAGCAUUUCAGGAAGCAUUAUUUGAUUCCACAGACGCCUGUGAUCUUGGAAGGCGUGGCCGACCAUUGGCCGUGCAUGAAGAAGUGGAGCUUGGAGUAUAUACAAGAAAUUGCUGGCUGCCGCACUGUCCCGGUGGAAGUGGGCUCUAGGUACACCGACGAGGAAUGGUCCCAGAGGCUCAUGACGGUCAGUGAGUUCAUCAGCUGCUACAUCCUCAACGAGAAAGCCAGGAAUGGCCAUGUUUCGAUUCCUGAUAUGAGGUCAGAGAAAGCAGUCCCCCGGCUUCACUGUCCGUCCCUGCAGCAUUUCAGGAAGCAUUAUUUGAUUCCACAGACGCCUGUGAUCUUGGAAGGCGUGGCCGACCAUUGGCCGUGCAUGAAGAAGUGGAGCUUGGAGUAUAUACAAGAAAUUGCUGGCUGCCGCACUGUCCCGGUGGAAGUGGGCUCUAGGUACACCGACGAGGAAUGGUCCCAGAGGCUCAUGACGGUCAGUGAGUUCAUCAGCUGCUACAUCCUCAACGAGAGUCUUACUAGCGAGGGCCGGGAAUGCAGCUUGUCUGCGGGGGCCUGAACCAUCCCUGUUGGCCGGGACAAGGGGAGCUCUCAGGGGCUGUCCACCCGCACCUGUGGUGGGCAAGGACCUUCACGAGGUGUGCGCGGUCAGCAUCAGUGCUUUGCAGCUCUUCCGCCGCACCCGGCAGCCCGCUCCCAGCCCAGGGGCUCUGUAAAGCUCUGACCGGUUUGGUCAUGGGUCUGCUGCAUUGACCGUCCAGGUCAGUGACCAUGGGGCUAAGGUUUCCUCGCUUGGCCUUCUCACCUUCUCACCUGACGGACCACCCCGUGGCCCUUCCUGACCCCAUCUCUGCGCUCCUACAUUUCCCCUCCUCCACGGCACUCGGUGCGGUUCACUUGGCUGCGGGGCCCCUCCAGCAGGGCUCACAGACGUCCUUCCAUUCCUGCUUCUGCAUUCCUCCCGGCCCCGUCUCUGCUCAGUUCACUGUCACCUGGAGGCCUGGAAAGAGAGCUGUGGGCUAGAGACGUGCCGUGUGCACGUCCACCUCUGCUGUAGGCAUGCACCCCGCACGGGCCUGGGCAUCUCCCUCCGCCAGGAGGAAGCCUGCUUGCUCGGCAGAGGCGGAGCCAGAGGGUGUGCGUGGGUCAGGAUGUGCACUUGCAGUUCAGGCAGAACAGCACUGUAUCCAGCACUGGCCCUGGCUGGCUGUGUGUCGUCGGCUGGUUACUUAACCUCUCGGGUCGCCAGUGCCCUGACCUUUGGUUAGUUAGGUCGGUUGGGGUCGGUUGAAGUUACCGACGCUUCCUAGGGUCAUUGCGAGAGUAGCAGGGGGAGCUGCAAGAGCACAGCUGGCGCUCAGUUACCAUGGCCUUCGGUCCCUCUGCACCAGGGGCUAUAGGUCACGUCACAUCUGGCUCUGCCCAGCGCUUAGUGCAGGGUCUGGCAUUUUGUAAACUGUUUGUGGGAAGGAAGAGAGAAUGAAGGAGGAGACAGAAAGACAGAUUUUUGAGGAAUCCUGGGGGAACUUCUUUCCUUCAACACCAUUUCAGCCUCAGAGCUUGAGGCCAAGCCAACUCCGCCCUGAAGCCCGAGGGCCGCGCCUGGCGUCCCUCCACUCCUCCAAUGGAUCCCCAGGGCCGGUGUGUGAAACUGACCUUUUCACACAGUGAUAAUCUCCAAAGAUGUAGGAAAAUGGGCGCUCAGAUUAAUUGCUGGGAAGAGUCUAAAUCAUUUAACUUUGGGGCAAAUAACCUGGCAGAAGCUAUGAAAAUUUAAAAAGCACAUACUCCUUGUCUCAGUUCUGCUUUUGCACAUAGUAUCUUAUAUAAUAAAGAGCUAAUAUGCAUAUGGUCGUCACGCCCUCGUGACGGGGCCAGGGGACCUGAGGCCGAGCCCCCUGCCUUGUGGGGCUUGAUGGAGGUGGGGCCGGCCGGGUCUGGGUCUCGCGCGAUUUCAAGGUGUGCACGGG